GUGGGGAAUCUUGCGCAAUGGGCGAAAGCCUGACGCAGCCAUGCCGCGUGAAUGAUGAAGGUCUUAGGAUUGUAAAAUUCUUUCACCGGGGACGAUAAUGACGGUACCCGGAGAAGAAGCUCCGGCUAACUUCGUGCCAGCAGCCGCGGUAAUACGAAGGGGGCUAGCGUUGCUCGGAAUUACUGGGCGUAAAGGGCGCGUAGGCGGACAGCUUAGUCAGAGGUGAAAGCCCAGGGCUCAACCUUGGAAUUGCCUUUGAUACUGGCUGUCUUGAGUGUGGGAGAGGUGAGUGGAAAUCCGAGUGUAGAGGUGAAAUUCGUAGAUAUUCGGAAGAACACCAGUGGCGAAGGCGACUCACUGGCCCAAUACUGACGCUGAGGCGCGAAAGCGUGGGGAGCAAACAGGAUUAGAUACCCGGGUAGUCC
rnacentral:rRNA from 1 species